rnacentral:rRNA from 1 species
UACGGGAGGCAGCAGUGGGGAAUAUUGCACAAUGGGCGCAAGCCUGAUGCAGCCAUGCCGCGUGUAUGAAGAAGGCCUUCGGGUUGUAAAGUACUUUCAGUCGUGAGGAAGGUGUUAAGGUUAAUAACCUUAGCAAUUGACGUUAGCGACAGAAGAAGCACCGGCUAACUCCGUGCCAGCAGCCGCGGUAAUACGGAGGGUGCGAGCGUUAAUCGGAAUUACUGGGCGUAAAGGGCACGCAGGCGGUUAAUUAAGUUGGAUGUGAAAUCCCCGGGCUUAACCUGGGAAUGGCAUUCAAGACUGGUUAGCUAGAGUCUUGUAGAGGGGGUAGAAUUCCAUGUGUAGCGGUGAAAUGCGUAGAGAUGUGGAGGAAUACCGGUGGCGAAGGCGGCCCCCUGGGACAAAAGACUGACGCUCAUGUGCGAAAGCGUGGGGAGCAAACAGGAUUAGAUACC